rnacentral:rRNA from 1 species
GUCAAGAGACAUAUCAUACUGAACGUGCACUAUCUUGUCUGAUCUUGGAAGCAAAGCAGGGUUGGGCCCGGUUAGGAUUUGGAUGGGAGACAUCGAAUGGAAACUACAAAAUUAUUUAAAU